UACAGAGGGUGCAAGCGUUGCUCGGAAUCAUUGGGCGUAAAGGGCAGGUAGGUGGUCUCAUUUGUCUGGGGUGAAAGCCUUGGGCUUAACCCAAGAAGUGCCUCGGAAACGGUGAGACUUGAGUACUGGAGAGGGUCGUGGAAUUCCCGGUGUAGCGGUGAAAUGCGUAGAGAUCGGGAGGAACACCAGUGGCGAAGGCGACUACCUGGCCUGUUCUUGACGCUGAGGCGCGAAAGCUAGGGGAGCAAACGGG
rnacentral:rRNA from 1 species